rnacentral:rRNA from 1 species
GAUCAUGGCUCAGGAUGAACGCUAGCUACAGGCUUAACACAUGCAAGGUCGAGGGGCAGCACAGUGUAGCAAUACAUGGGUGGCGACCGGCGCACGGGUGCGUAACGCGUAUCCAACUUUCCCGUUACUCAGGGAUAGCCUUCCGAAAGGGAGAUUAAUACCUGAUGGUGUUUGAAGUUCGCAUGUUCUUCAAACUAAAGAUUUAUCGGAAACGGAUAGGCUCGCGUGACAUUAGCUAGAUGGCGGGGUAACGGCCCACCAUGGCGACGAUGUCUAGGGGUUCUGAGAGGAAGGUCCCCCACACUGGAACUGAGACACGGUCCAGACUCCUACGGGAGGCAGCAGUGAGGAAUAUUGGUCAAUGGUCGGAAGACUGAACCAGCCAUGCCGCGUGAAGGUGACGGCCCUAUGGGUCUUAAACUUCUUUUGUAAGGGAGCAAUAAGGUCUACGUGUAGAUUGAUGAGAGUACCUUACGAAUAAGCAUCGGCUAACUCCGUG